UACGUAGGUGGCGAGCGUUGUCCGGAUUUAUUGGGCGUAAAGAGCGCGCAGGCGGUCGUACAAGUCGCGUGUGAAAGCCCCUGGCUCAACUGGGGGAGGGUCACGCGAUACUGUUCGACUCGAAGGCAGGAGAGGGAAGUGGAAUUCCCGGUGUAGUGGUGAAAUGCGUAGAUAUCAGGAGGAACACCGAUUGCGAAGGCAGCUCGCUGGAACGUUACUGACGCUGAGACGCGAAAGCGUGGGGGAGCAAACAGG
rnacentral:rRNA from 1 species